rnacentral:rRNA from 1 species
UACGAGGGGAGCUAGCGUUGUUCGGAAUUACUGGGCGUAAAGGGCGUGUAGGCGGUUCCUUAAGUCAGAUGUGAAAGCCCUAGGCUUAACCUAGGAGGUGCAUUUGAUACUGUGGAACUAGAGAUCGAGAGAGGAAAGUGGAAUUACGAGUGUAGAGGUGAAAUUCGUAGAUAUUCGUAAGAACACCAGUGGCGAAGGCGGCUCACUGGCCCAGUACUGACGCUGAGGUGCGAAAGCGUGGGGAGCAAACAGG